GAUGAACGCUGGCUACAGGCUUAACACAUGCAAGUCGAGGGGAAACGACGGGUUAGCUUUCUUGCCCGGGCGUCGACCGGCGCACGGGGGAGUAACGCGUAUCCAACCUGCCUCUGACUGAUGGAUGACACGUCUAAAGUCCUCCUACUACUUCAUGGUAGCGUCUGCGGGUAUUGAACGACGAUUAAAAAGUUCAUCGGUCAGGGGGGGGGAUGCGCGUGAUUAGCUUGUUGGCGGGUUAAGGGCCCACCAAGGCAACGAUCAGUAGGGGUUCUGAGAGGAAGGUCCCCCACAUUGGAACUGGGCCACGGGCCAAACUCCUACGGGAGGAAGCAGUGAGGAAUAGUGGUCAAUGGGCGAGAGCCUGAACCAGCCAAGUAGCGUGCAGGAAGACGGCCCUAUGGGUUGUAAACUGCUUUUAUGCGGGGAUAAAGUGAGGGACGUGUCCCUCAUUGCAGGUACCGCAUGAAUAAGGACCGGCUAAUUCCGUG
rnacentral:rRNA from 1 species